GCUCAGGUGGCGGAAUUGGUAGACGCGCUGGUUUCAGGUACCAGUGGUGGCAACAUCGUGGGGGUUCGAGUCCCUUCCUGAGCACCA
rnacentral:tRNA from 1 species